rnacentral:rRNA from 1 species
UACGUAGGGCGCAAGCGUUGUCCGGAAUUAUUGGGCGUAAAGAGCUCGUAGGCGGCCUGUUACGUCUGCUGUGAAAUCCCGGGGCUUAACCCCGGGCGUGCAUUCGAUACGGGCAGGCUCGAGUUCGGUAGGGGAGACUGGAAUUCCUGGUGUAGCGGUGAAAUGCGCAGAUAUCAGGAGGAACACCGGUGGCGAAGGCGGGUCUCUGGGCCGAUACUGACGCUGAGGAGCGAAAGCGUGGGGAGCGAACAGG